rnacentral:lncRNA from 1 species
CUUCGCGAGCGUCUGGGCGGGUGGUAGGUGAGUGGGUAUUGCGGGCUAGUAUCCGAGCAAAAGAUGGUGGCGCAGGCCGAGUUAAGAGCUUUAAUCCUGUGAAGACAUCUUAGUGAAGAGUUUAGAGUGCUGAGAGUUGAAAGCUUGCACGUGGGAAACGUGCGGCCGGACUGCCACAUGUACUGAGGUUGAGUCGUGACGGCCACAGGCUCCGAGUUUUGGCGUGAGGAACCGCUGAUCGGCCACGGGCGCCGAACUUGCUGGCCUCCGGCAUGUGCCUGAGCGGCGGCGGAAAAACCACCUUAAUUGGGGCGGAGGGUUAGUUUUAACAGCAAAGGGCCUUUACUAAAAUGGCGAAGGCCUUCCGUCGGCGUUGUUUUAAAAUGGGAAGCCUCGACCCUGUAUUGAAACUGAGCUGUUCGAAGGCGGCGUUGUGUGCAAUUCGGAUUAAUGAAGGGGAAGGGUUUUGUGUGGAAAAACGCCUUGGAGUGUGACAUUUCUGCGAGAAUGCUUAAAUACCGAUUUCCCGCAGGAACAAUGGCGCUGUCUUCAGUGGCACAGUGGAGCAGCUCUGAAGAUGCAAAGAUACACGAAAAAACUUCCAGAACAUCUGGGAGAAUAUUUAAUGGAAAAUCGCUUGGUUAAAACCUGACACUUUUAACAGUGAGGGUCGCUGUCUGCCCAUUGAUAGAGGCCAGAUUGUCUUGGAAGUUCCAAAGUUGCAACGAUUUCUUUAGUUGAAUCCAUGGACAUGAAACCCACAGAUAUAGAGGGUUGGCCCGGUGCAGUGGCUCACGCCUGUAAUCCCAGCACUUUGGGAGGCCAAGGCGGGUGGAUCACCUGAGGUCAGAAGCUUGAGACCAGCCUGGCCAACAUGGUAAAACCCCAUCUCUACUAAUAAUACAAAACAAUUUGCUGGGCAUGGUGGUGCACGCUUGUAAUCCAAGCUACUCCAGAGGCUGAGGCAGAAGAAUCGCUUGAAUCCGAGAGGCAAAGGUUGCAGUGAGCCCAGAUCACACCACUGCUCUC